rnacentral:tRNA from 1 species
GCGUAAGUGGCGGAGUGGUCAAUCGCAGCAGACUGUAAAUUUGCCGGCUUCGGCCUUCGAAGGUUCGAAUCCUUCCUUACGCA